AGUGAACGCUGGCGGUAGGCCUAACACAUGCAAGUCGAACGGCAGCGCAGUAAGAGCUUGCUCUUACGGGUGGCGAGUGGCGGACGGGUGAGGAAUACAUCGGAAUCUACUUUUUCGUGGGGGAUAACGUAGGGAAACUUACGCUAAUACCGCAUACGACCUACGGGUGAAAGCAGGGGAUCUUCGGACCUUGCGCGAUUGAAUGAGCCGAUGUCGGAUUAGCUAGUUGGCGGGGUAAAGGCCCACCAAGGCGACGAUCCGUAGCUGGUCUGAGAGGAUGAUCAGCCACACUGGAACUAAGACACGGUCCAGACUCCUACGGGAGGCAGCAGUGGGGAAUAUUGGACAAUGGGCGCAAGCCUGAUCCAGCCAUACCGCGUGGGUGAAGAAGGCCUUCGGGUUGUAAAGCCCUUUUGUUGGGAAAGAAAAGCAGCAGGUUAAUACCCCGCUGUUCUGACGGUACCCAAAGAAUAAGCACCGGCUAACUUCGUG
rnacentral:rRNA from 1 species